AGUGAACGCUGGCGGUAUGCCUAACACAUGCAAGUCGAACGGCAGCACAGUAAGAUCUUGCUCUGACUGGUGGCGAGUGGCGGACGUGUGAGGAGAACAUCGUGAUCCACUUUCUCGUGUGAGAUAACGUAGGGACACUUACUCUAAUACCGCAUACUACCCACGGUUGAAAUCGUUGGAUCUUCUUACCUUUUUGGAUUGAAUUAGCCGAUUUCGGGUUAGAUAGUUGGGUGGUUAAAGGCCCACCCAGGCGACGAUCCGCAGCUGGUCUGAGCGACUGAUCAGCCACACUGGAACUGAGACACGGACCAGACUCCUACGGGACGCAGCAGUGGGGAAUAUUAGACAAUGGGCGGGAGCAUGACCCAGCGAUCGAGAGUGUGAUAAGAAGGCGUUCGGGUUGUAAAGCCCUUUUGUUGGGAAAGAAAAGCAGCCGGUAAAUACCAAGCUGUAGUGACGGUACCUACAGAAGAAGCACCGGCUAACUUCGUG
rnacentral:rRNA from 1 species